AACAAAAAUAGGAUUGGUAGUACUUUUUAUCGAAGAUUCACAACUGUCAAUAUCGUUGUUGACAUUUGUUAUUAAGUAUUUUAUUAAUUAUUUUAAUUAAUAGUGCGUUUUUCGUGUCAAAAAUGUACCAAAGAAACAAGAUUAAUACGAAGUUAAUCAAACAAAUUAAAAUCUUUACGGCUAAGUUUCAUAAACUGAGGUUAGCUGAGAUAUGUUAAACAAGCUUUUCCUCUGUAGAGAAGGAACAGGUUCUUCUGCUUUCUGAAUGGGAGAAAAACUAGGAAGACGUUUCCAGAAGAAAGAACCGCACAAAACCCGGAUGACAAUCAAACAUGAAACACCAUCAUUAACAAAUAUUGUUUAUAUUGCAGAACAUUAAAAAACUUCUGGAUGUUUUAUAAAAGUAAGGUUUUAAGCAAAUUUUGCAACUUUUAUAGUUUCAUUUUUAUUGCAUAUCUUUUCUUCUUCUUAUUCUUUGGAGCUCCGCUGACGACCAGACACGGUAACAAAGGUUACGGGGCACCGUUCACCAUGAUGGCUGUUCGUGAGUCAAAACCAGUGAUUAAAUCUUUAUUGCCAUUAACGGUGCGCAAUGCAAACACCUUCGAGAACCCCAGGAGAAGAUAAAAAUCGCGUUUACCAUCGUGACCCGGACGACCGACGGCGGCGCAAUCUACCGGACUCGUCGGGAGUUGAGUUAAUUACCGGUCACGUACGAUCAUCUCUUCUUUGGUUUGCGUUGGAAAGAGACUUCUUCGUUUUCGUAUAAACACCGCGACAACUACAGAAAGGAAAAGGAACGAAGAUUACUGCUCGUUGAAAAUGAAGCUUAUAAACUCGGAUAGUUCACCGCUCGUUUGCCGAGAGAAAAUGAACAAUCUGUGAAGGUUUAUUAGGUGCCAUUACUUAAGAUGAUGUUGUGAAAAUGUGCGGAAUACAAGUUGAAGGAAAAAGGGAUAAGAGAAGAAUUUGAUUCUAUCUCAACAUAAAAAAAAAUUUUUUUUAGGUUAUAUCUUUUCCGCUCUAAAGAGUAGGAGAGAAACGAUGAGUGUGUGUAGAGAGAGGCUGUGUGGAGACCCGCUUUUAAAUUCUCAUAAAUAACGGCUAACAAUCCGCUAGUGACAGCUUGUUAAGUUCUAACCACAGGUUAAGUUAUAAUUAAUGACUGACGUCACGCGGUAAUUGUUGACCAAACGCUAUUACGACCACCUUUUUUCUUUCUUCCAACCCAACCUUAACAACAACCAAACGAACUCCACCCCUAAAAAAACCUCAUUUUCAAAAGAGCAAAUUACCUUUCUCAUUUUUGUUUUUGAUUGAUUCGAAAACGACAUUUAAGAAAUGUCAAAAAAUUGAUUUGAUAACUUAUUUCAUGUUGCAUAAAGUUUAUUACAAGUACUACCAACCACCUACGACUAAAAUUCCUGCUCGUACUCCUUCUACUCGGACAGAUGCCUUAACGAGCAAUAUCUUUCCGUUUGCAUCUCUUCUUCGCAUUACGCCGUCGUAUUUAUUAUAAUUCUUGUUUCUCUCUUCUUCUUCCUCUUUCGUUUUGCCUGCUUUCAACGUUUUAAACGCGGAGUUAUCCCGAUGUUGAUGAAGACAUCGUCGGCUGUCCAACUAAAAGAAAAUCGAAUUCACGGUAUUCAUAAAUAACAAAUUAAGUUAAACUUAAAAAAUUAAUGGGUAGAUAAAACGCGUUUUCCCUUUUCUUUCAAUCUUUCUUUUUUGUUUCAUCUUUGAAGAUCGUCUCGUUACUCGGUUUUAUUUGUCAGGUGUCACGCGGUCGGACGUGUUUAUUGCGCGGAGCCCCAUUAGGCAUUGUGUCUCGAGCCUCAGAGGGGGGGCAGCGGCAGCGAUGGUCUUCGGGGCCACGGAGAGAACGACGUCCACGAAUAUUGUGUGGUGCUGCCGAGUAGCGUAUGUUUGUAAUAGGCGAGGCGGAUGUCAGCAUGGGGCAACACUUCCAGCGGGCCCCCGACUCGGAACCCCACUGCCACGCCAGCGCCCUCAACUUUCCAGAUACCAAUCUCAAUCGCGCCCAACAAAAUUUUUCUUCAUCUUUUAUUUCUCUCUAUCUAAUAGUUCACCUUUUUUUCAAAACUAUUAAUUAAGUUGUGGUUAUGUUAUCACUAAAACGUUGUUAAACCAGAACGUAAAUUUUUGGUUUGUUAUUAAGUCGAUCUCUUCGCUUCAUAAAAUCGGAUUACAUUCGGUAGUAUAUCAAGCGAGUUUAUGAGGAUUUUAUUGUUGUUAAAAUCGCGAUUUAAUCGG